GACGAACGCUGGCGGCGUGCUUAACACAUGCAAGUCGAACGGAAAGGCCCUGCUUUUGUGGGGUGCUCGAGUGACGAACGGGUGAGUAACACGUGAGUAACCUGCCCUUGACUUUGGGAUAACUUCAGGAAACUGGGGCUAAUACCGGAUAGGAGCUCCUGCUGCAUGGUGGGGGUUGGAAAGUUUCGGCGGUUGGGGAUGGACUCGCGGCUUAUCAGCUUGUUGGUGGGGUAGUGGCUUACCAAGGCUUUGACGGGUAGCCGGCCUGAGAGGGUGACCGGCCACAUUGGGACUGAGAUACGGCCCAGACGCCUACGGGAGGCAGCAGUGGGGAAUAUUGCACAAUGGGCGGAAGCCUGAUGCAGCAACGCCGCGUGCGGGAUGACGGCCUUCGGGUUGUAAACCGCUUUCGCCUGUGACGAAGCGUGAGUGACGGUAAUGGGUAAAGAAGCACCGGCUAACUACGUG
rnacentral:rRNA from 1 species